CGGGGGGGGGCCUAUACAUGCAAGUCGAACGAGAUUAAGGGGCUUGCUCCUUAUGAAAGUGGCGCACGGGUGCGUAACGCGUAUGCAACCUACCUCAAUCAGGGGGAUAGCCCGAAGAAAUUCGGAUUAACACCGCAUAAAAACACAGGAUAGCAUUAUCUAAUGUUCAAAUAUUUAUAGGAUUGAGAUGGGCAUGCGUGUCAUUAGCUAGUUGGCGGGGUAACGGCCCACCAAGGCGACGAUGACUAGGGGAUCUGAGAGGAUGACCCCCCACACUGGUACUGAGACACGGACCAGACUCCUACGGGAGGCAGCAGUAAGGAAUAUUGGUCAAUGGAGGCAACUCUGAACCAGCCAUGCCGCGUGCAGGAAGACAGCCCUCUGGGUCGUAAACUGCUUUUAUUCGGGAAUAAACCUAUUUACGUGUAGAUAGCUGAAUGUACCGAAGGAAUAAGGAUCGGCUAACUCCGUGCCAGCAGCCGCGGUAAUACGGAGGAUCCAAGCGUUAUCCGGAUUUAUUGGGUUUAAAGGGUGCGUAGGCGGCUUAUUAAGUCAGGGGUGAAAGACGGUGGCUCAACCAUCGCAGUGCCUUUGAUACUGAUGAGCUUGAAUGAACUAGAGGUAGGCGGAAUGUGACAAGUAGCGGUGAAAUGCAUAGAUAUGUCACAGAACACCGAUUGCGAAGGCAGCUUACUAUGGUUUUAUUGACGCUGAGGCACGAAAGCGUGGGGAUCAAACAGGAUUAGAUACCCUGGUAGUCCACGCCCUAAACGAUGAAUACUCGCUGUUAGCGAUAUACAGUUAGCGGCUAAGCGAAAGCGUUAAGUAUUCCACCUGGGGAGUACGCCCGCAAGGGUGAAACUCAAAGGAAUUGACGGGGGCCCGCACAAGCGGAGGAGCAUGUGGUUUAAUUCGAUGAUACGCGAGGAACCUUACCCGGGCUUGAAAGUUAGUGAAUGAUCUAGAGAUAGAUCAGUGAGCAAUCACACGAAACUAGGUGCUGCAUGGCUGUCGUCAGCUCGUGCCGUGAGGUGUUGGGUUAAGUCCCGCAACGAGCGCAACCCCUAUGUUUAGUUUGCCAGCCCGUAAAGGGUGGGGGACU
rnacentral:rRNA from 1 species